AUCAUCCGGAAACAGCCGAGUGCGGCCGAACCGCCGGCCGAAGCUUCGUUCCCCUGGGGAGGGUGGGUGGGCGGCGUGGAAAUUUCCAGACGGCGUCGUGUCGUUGUGAGCAAAGAUCUUAUAUCUUAUCUUAAAGAUACUAGAGGAGCUUUUUGAUUGUGAAAGAGGCGGCGGAGAAGAAGCGAGAGGAGUGAUGAGUUUCAGGAAAACCAGAAGUCUGUGAACACACUCUUAAUUUGCAAAAGAAGUGUCCAAAAUUAGCAUAUUGAAAUUGGCAACACACCUCUCUCCAAGAUAAUACUACACCAGGGUACCACCAAGUCAUGCACAAGUGCAACAGAUGGUGCAAAGAGAAAAAUACCAGAGGACAGACUAUAGUUUUGCAGCUUUUGUAGCAUUACAGAUCCGGAGAAAAAUCC